rnacentral:rRNA from 1 species
UACAGAGGUCCCAAGCGUUGUUCGGAUUCACUGGGCGUAAAGGGUGCGUAGGUGGCCAGGUAAGUUCGGUGUGAAAGCUCGGAGCUUAACUCCGAAAUGGCAUUGAAUACUAUCUGGCUAGAGGGUCGGAGGGGAGACUGGAAUUCUCGGUGUAGCAGUGAAAUGCGUAGAUAUCGAGAGGAACACCAGUGGCGAAGGCGAGUCUCUGGACGACUCCUGACACUGAGGCACGAAAGCCAGGGGCAGCAAACAGG